UCGUCCUUUUUAAGCUGAGGUUAAAAAAACAAGGAAAGCUAAACAGCGGAAAGAAGGAAAGAAAGAUGGUGAUGGAGAAGUACCAGCAGAUCUGGUUAGUGUUAGGUACACUGACCUUUUUCGCCUUAUCAGCCUUAGCAGACGACGUCGUUGUGCUAACAGAAGAUAACUUCGAGAAGGAGGUCGGUCAAGACAGAGGCGCUCUCGUUGAAUUCUACGCUCCUUGGUGUGGACAUUGUAAAAAGCUUGCUCCCGAGUAUGAGAAACUUGGAACAAGCUUUAA
rnacentral:misc_RNA from 1 species